rnacentral:rRNA from 1 species
GUUUGAUCAUGGCUCAGAUUGAACGCUGGCGGCAGGCCUAACACAUGCAAGUCGAGCGAGGACUUCGGUUCUAGCGGCGGACGGGUUAGUAACGCGUGGGAACGUACCCUUUUCUACGGAAUAGCCUCGGGAAACUGAGAGUAAUACCGUAUACGCCCUUAGGGGGAAAGAUUUAUCGGAGAAGGAUCGGCCCGCGUUAGAUUAGAUAGUUGGUGGGGUAAUGGCCUACCAAUUCUACGAUCUAUAGCUGGUUUGA